CUGCCUUGGAGUGGGGAAUAACGGUUGGAAACAGCCGCUAAUACCGCAUGAUGCAAUUGGGAGGCAUCUCUCUGAUUGCCAAAGAUUUAUCGCUCUGAGAUGAGCUCGCGUCUGAUUAGCUAGUUGGCGGGGUAACGGCCCACCAAGGCGACGAUCAGUAGCCGGACUGAGAGGUUGGCCGGCCACAUUGGGACUGAGACACGGCCCAG
rnacentral:rRNA from 1 species